rnacentral:rRNA from 1 species
AGCAGCCGCGGUAAUUCCAGCUCCAAUAGCGUAUAUUAAAGUUGUUGCAGUUAAAAAGCUCGUAGUUGAACUUCGGGGUUCACCCAUUGGUCAGGCUUAAUUGUCUGCACUGGUGAGAUGAGUCUCUACCUUCUGAGGAACUUUCAUGCCAUUUAUUUGGUGUGAUUGGAAAUCAGGACUGUUACUUUGAAAAAAUUAGAGUGUUUAAAGCAGGCUAACGUCUGAAUACGUUAGCAUGGAAUAAUGAAAUAGGACGGACUGAUUCUAUUUCGUUGGCUUCUAGGAUCACCGUAAUGAUUAAUAGGGAUAGUUGGGGGCAUUAGUAUUCAAUUGUCAGAGGUGAAAUUCUUGGAUUUAUUGAAGACUAACUACUGCGAAAGCAUUUGCCAAGGAUGUUUUCAUUAAUCAAGAACGAAAGUUAGGGGAUCGAAGACGAGUCAGAUACCGUCGUAGUCUUAACCAUAAACUAUGCCGACUAGGAUCGGACGAAGUUAAUUUUAUAAUGACGCGUUCGGUACCG